rnacentral:rRNA from 1 species
GACAGAGGGGGCAAGCGUUGCUCGGAAUUACUGGGCGUAAAGGGCGCGUAGGCGGGAUGGCAAGUCGGUCGUCAAAUCCCUCGGCUCAACUGAGGAUCGUCGAUCGAUACUGCCGUUCUUGAGGAUUGCAGAGGAGACUGGAAUUCCCGGUGUAGCGGUGAAAUGUGUAGAGAUCGGGAGGAACACCGGUGGCGAAGGCGGGUCUCUGGGCAAUUCCUGACGCUGAGGCGCGAAAGCGUGGGGAGCAAACGGG